UGUUGCAGUUUAAAAGCUCGUAGUCGAACCUUGGGUCUGGCUGGCCGGUCCGCCUCACCGCGAGUACUGGUCCGGCUGGACCUUUCCUUCUGGGGAACCUCAUGGCCUUCACUGGCUGUGGGGGGAACCAGGACUUUUACUGUGAAAAAAUUAGAGUGUUCAAAGCAGGCCUUUGCUCGAAUACAUUAGCAUGGAAUAAUAGAAUAGGACGUGUGGUUCUAUUUUGUUGGUUUCUAGGACCGCCGUAAUGAUUAAUAGGGAUAGUCGGGGGCGUCAGUAUUCAGCUGUCAGAGGUGAAAUUCUUGGAUUUGCUGAAGACUAACUACUGCGAAAGCAUUCGCCAAGGAUGUUUUCAUUAAUCAGGGAACGAAAGUUAGGGGAUCGAAGACGAUCAGAUACCGUCGUAGUCUUAACCAUAAACUAUGCCGACUAGGGAUCGGACGGGAUUCUAUAAUGACCCGUUCGGCACCUUACGAGAAAUCAAAGUUUUUGGGUUCUGGGGG
rnacentral:rRNA from 1 species